CCCGCGGCAAGACGGAAAGACCCCGUGAACCUUUACUAUAGCUUGACACUGAACAUUGAGCCUUGAUGUGUAGGAUAGGUGGGAGGCUUUGAAGUGUGGACGCCAGUCUGCAUGGAGCCGACCUUGAAAUACCACCCUUUAAUGUUUGAUGUUCUAACGUUGACCCGUAAUCCGGGUUGCGGACAGUGUCUGGUGGGUAGUUUGACUGGGGCGGUCUCCUCCUAAAGAGUAACGGAGGAGCACGAAGGUUGGCUAAUCCUGGUCGGACAUCAGGAGGUUAGUGCAAUGGCAUAAGCCAGCUUGACUGCGAGCGUGACGGCGCGAGCAGGUGCGAAAGCAGGUCAUAGUGAUCCGGUGGUUCUGAAUGGAAGGGCCAUCGCUCAACGGAUAAAAGGUACUCCGGGGAUAACAGGCUGAUACCGCCCAAGAGUUCAUAUCGACGGCGGUGUUUGGCACCUCGAUGUCGGCUCAUCACAUCCUGGGGCUGAAGUAGGUCCCAAGGGUAUGGCUGUUCGCCAUUUAAAGUGGUACGCGAGCUGGGUUUAGAACGUCGUGAGACAGUUCGGUCCCUAUCUGCCGUGGGCGCUGGAGAACUGAGGGGGGCUGCUCCUAGUACGAGAGGACCGGAGUGGACGCAUCACUGGUGUUCGGGUUGUCAUGCCAAUGGCACUGCCCGGUAGCUAAAUGCGGAAGAGAUAAGUGCUGAAAGCA
rnacentral:rRNA from 1 species